UACGAAGGGGGCUAGCGUUGCUCGGAAUCACUGGGCGUAAAGCGCACGUAGGCGGCUUGUUAAGUCAGGGGUGAAAUCCUGGAGCUCAACUCCAGAACUGCCUUUGAUACUGGCGAGCUUGAGUUCGGGAGAGGUGAGUGGAACUGCGAGUGUAGAGGUGAAAUUCGUAGAUAUUCGCAAGAACACCAGUGGCGAAGGCGGCUCACUGGCCCGAUACUGACGCUGAGGUGCGAAAGCGUGGGGAGCGAACCGG
rnacentral:rRNA from 1 species